rnacentral:rRNA from 1 species
CCUACGGGGGGCAGCAGUGGGGAAUAUUGCACAAUGGGGGAAACCCUGAUGCAGCCAUGCCGCGUGUGUGAAGAAGGCCUUCGGGUUGUAAAGCACUUUCAGUGGGGAGGAAGGGGAGUAAGCGAAUAACUUGCUUCAUUGACGUUACCCACAGAAGAAGCACCGGCUAACUCCGUGCCAGCAGCCGCGGUAAUACGGAGGGUGCAAGCGUUAAUCGGAAUAACUGGGCGUAAAGCGCACGCAGGCGGUUAUAUAAGUCAGAUGUGAAAGCCCCGGGCUC